rnacentral:rRNA from 1 species
CCUACGGGAGGCAGCAGUGGGGAAUAUUGGGCAAUGGGCGCAAGCCUGACCCAGCAACGCCGCGUGAAGGAAGAAGGCUUUCGGGUUGUAAACUUCUUUUAUGAGGGACGAAGGAAGUGACGGUACCUCAUGAAUAAGCUCCGGCUAACUACGUGCCAGCAGCCGCGGUAAUACGUAGGGAGCGAGCGUUAUCCGGAUUUACUGGGUGUAAAGGGCGUGUAGGCGGGGAAGCAAGUCAGAUGUGAAAACCAGUGGCUCAACCACUGGCCUGCAUUUGAAACUGUUUUUCUUGAGUGAUGGAGAGGCAGGCGGAAUUCCGUGUGUAGCGGUGAAAUGCGUAGAUAUACGGAGGAACACCAGUGGCGAAGGCGGCCUGCUGGACAUUAACUGACGCUGAGGCGCGAAAGCGUGGGGAGCAAACAGG